rnacentral:rRNA from 1 species
UACGAAGGGUGCAAACGUUGCUCGGAAUCAUUGGGCGUAAAGCGCACGUAGGCGGCUUCAAAAGUCGGAUGUGAAAUCCCUCGGCUCAACCGAGGACGUGCAUCCGAAACUGGGAGGCUUGAGUACUGAAGAGGAUCGCGGAAUUCCCGGUGUAGAGGUGAAAUUCGUAGAUAUCGGGAGGAACACCAGUGGCGAAGGCGGCGAUCUGGGCAGAUACUGACGCUGAGGUGCGAAAGCGUGGGGAGCAAACAGG